rnacentral:lncRNA from 1 species
AUCUACCUGUACCCAGGAACAGAUGAACAAACAUUUCUGGAAGCUUUUCCCUCAUUUUGAAGGUAGCAAAUAAAUUUUAUGCUAUAGUCUUUCUUUUUCUUUCUUUCUUUCUUUCUUUCUUUCUUUCUUUCUUUCUUUCUUUCUUUCUUUCUUUCUUUCUUUCUUUCUUUCUUUCUUUCUUUCUUCUCAGAAGAUGGUGUAGUGACAGAAUUGCAGAAAAGCAAUUUCCCCUUUUUAUUUCUAAAACAAAGUUCACACUGUCAUCAGCUGACUUUAUUUAAAGGACCAAAAAAAAAAAAAAAAGAGCUUGAAAUAUAGCUAGACACUCCAGCCUGUAUUUUUGUAGAGCUGAUCGUACCAUUUUUUUGCCAGACACAGAGAAGAGCAGGAGUGGAGGUGUGCGCAUAAACAUUUGCCUCGGAGAAAGAAGUGUUUCCACCAGGAUGCUCUCAAGGAGGAUUAAAUAGUGGAAUGAACCUUCCAGCUUGGUGGAUGUGCUGGAGUGAAUCAGAAAGGGCGAGUUUCCUGAAGGCCUGGGAAAAGUUUCCUGAAGGCACAGUGGAAAGCUGUGCCACUGCAUGCGUGCCCCUCUCUGUCGGUCGGCACGAGGUCCCUGCAGGUGCCUGCUCUCUGUGCACCUGGGAACAGCAACUGCAAACCCGAGUGGGUGCCUGCCAUCACCCAACAUCCCUCCCAUGUGAAGUAAUGCCCUCCUCAUCCCGCAAAGUUUCUUGGAAAGCAGAGAGGGACAACCUCAAGAAAUGUCCUGAAAUAAUCCAGAAUGAAUGCCUGUAGAAUGCAAAUUACACUUUUUCUGUCAGAGAUGAACCUUUCAGACCACGUUCUGAGGCAGACACCCUAGCACUGUUUCUACCCGUCUUCCCUUGAGACAGAGGAAAAGAAGGGAACUGAGGGAUACUAAAUGCCUUUAUUCAGCUCUUCUGAAGCACGCUACCCUCACGCACAGAACAGCUGGAAGUCAGGGGAGCCAAGGGAAGCGAUCACACUUCCUUUCCCAGAAGCAAAGCUACUGCAGUCCCUUGUUCUGGCUCUUCUGCUUCCCAAGCCCAUGAGAUAUAAAGCACAGGCUGAGCUACAGUCGAAAGAACAAAUCAUCCAAAGCCACAACCUGUGCUUUCUUGGAGAAGGAAGUUUUUCAGAAAUGCAGGGAAAAUGGCUCUCUGCCACAUCUUGCCUGAAGACCAUACAUAUAUCACUGGAGAUCAGAGGAAGAGAUGACACACGCUGGCAUCAGGCAGGAUUUAUGGAAAGCUGCUCCUGUGACAGUCGUCUCCUACAUGACCUCUUGCAGUUCCUUCUAAGACUUCUUUCUUUUACUCCUUGUAAAUAUUCCUGGUGCAGAGGCAUUGAAAUAUUACAAAAAAAUAUUUGUAUACUCAUAAGGCAGAUGGAUGUGCUAAUUUCUCCAUGA